UUUUUUUUUUUUUUUUUUUUUUGUUUAGGCCUUGAUCCUAUGGACAUUUCCACAAAUGCUUAAUUUUCAACCCCAGCCAGCUAGUCCUGGUGAAUUAAUUGGGAUUUUUGAACACUUGCUUUGAGAGGAAAAGGGCACAGGAGUGCUCAGAGCCUUGUUUUGAUGUUCAGGCUCUUUCUGCUGGGAGAUGCUGCUUCAGGGAGGUCUUAAUAGUUGUGCUUUUCCCACUGUGCACAAAACCUCAGCCCAGCCCCUCAUGGCGCCUGGUGAAAAUAAAUCUGCAAAGAUUUAAUGCUGAGAAAACCAGGAAUUUCAAAUUCACUUUCAAAGAAAACCAACUAAUUGGGAAGAACUGGUUUAACAACCCAAACUGCCUUUCCACCCCUCAUUGGUGACUUCUGAGCUCUUUUCCCUUGCAGCUUCAGAACAGAUCCCAGGAUUGUGGCAGAUCCCUCAUGAGGGGGUGCUGGGGAAGUGACUUUCCUGUCUCCCUGCCUCAGUUUCCCCAAAAGGAUGUGCUGUGCUGACCAGGGACUUUGGGACAACACACACAAUGGAAAUGCAGAGGCUGGCAUGUGGAACUUGUCUAAAUAAACUGAGCAGUUAAUUUUCUUUUAGGAGGAAACUGAAAUUCUCAUAUAACAUCAAAUAGUUCUGGUGAUUUGUGGCUUUCAGAGCACUUCCAGGCUUUGCUUCUAAAGAUUUUUAAUUCUUUUUAAAAAACCACAGUUAGCAACAAUAUGUUGUGUAAACUUUGAUGCAUAAGACUGUGAAAUGUCCAGUUAUGUGCUUUUCCUGGCUGGUGUCCAAGUUUUCACUGCAUCUGUAUCAACUGCAGUUAAAAAAAACCCAAAACCACAUUAAAAAAAAAAAAAAAAAAAAAAAAAGGAAAAUUCGAAAAUUUAAUUUGAAACAUUUGUAUGUGAAAUCAUCUUAUCAUCUACAGAUAGGAGAGGGCCCAGUGUAAGAGAGCACAUUGUUUGGCAGGGCUGGGCUGUGCUCAGACUGCAGCUGGGGGGUGGUAAUGCCCGAAAUUCCCUGAUCCCGGGGGAAUUGUGUAAAAUACCCGGGGGAAUUGUGUAAAAUACCCGGGGCAUGUGAGAUCUCAGCCGUGGUGGGGGUGAGGAGCACGGUGAGGUGCUGCUGCAGCCAAGGACAAAGGACAAUGAAGUCCCUGCAGAGAUUUGUGUGGGAAGCUCCAGGUCUGUUUUGGUGGAAAUAAAAGCUGAGGAGAAAUUUGAGAAAAGCAGGGAAUGGGAACAGAGAACUGGACUAACAGACCGGAUAGUUCUCAUUUUGGAUUUUUUUCCCUAAUUUUUCCCCCCUGUCCUGCCUUUCUGCAGUAUCUGGUGCACACUGACUUCUCCCCGAUAUCAAACCACAUUUUGGGCUCUGGGCUGUUUGUGCUGGGAAACUCUCCAGCAUUUCUGAGCUGCUUUGGGAGCAGGAUGCUGCUGGGCUGUGGGAUGCUGAGCACAGCUGGAUGGAGGGAGGCACACACGGUGGGGCUGGGAGCUCCACUGAGCAUCCCACACUUUCCUUCUGAAACAAAGCGGAGAAAUCACCCUUCCUGUAAAAAACCACUCAGCCCCAGCAGUUUUGGUGCUGCAGCCCAUCGGGGUUUUGGGGUGCUGGGGGUGCCGGGGCAAAAAGUUGCUGGCUGCUGCCCAGUGAGUUAGCACGGAUUUGUGGAUUGGUUUGGGUUGGAAGGAGCUUAAAGCUCGUCUCAUUCCACCCCUUGCCAUGCAGGGACACAUUCCACUAGACCAAGCUGCUCCAAGCCCCAUCCAAAGGAUUGGUGAAACCAGGAGGGGUUUUAGUCAGAGCAGGCUUGCUGCUUCUCAGCUUUAGAAGACCCAGUGUGAAAAUAAAAGGAGUUUAGAAGACCCCAACUCCACAUCUUUAGUAGCAAGUCGAUUGUUUGCUGCUAAAGUAGAUUUUAGGAGUGGUAGGUGGGACAGGAGGUUCCUCCAGGAGGUGCAGGAGGGGAACAUCCCAGCAGCCAGGCGGUGCCUGGGGCUUUGACCAGGCUCCAUCCCCCGUGCAGAACCAGCUGAGGUUUCCCUGGAGGACAGCCAGGCUCUGUGCUCGCUAAUGCCCCUUCUCCUGUGUCUCCCUGUGUGCACAGAUAUAAUAUUUAUAGAUACUUAUACUCACACUUAAACAAAAGCAGCUCUGCCUGAGGCUCUGCAGGGAUGAGUGGAAGCAAAUGAGCAUUUUUAAUUGAUGUGACACCUCCUGGGGGCAGCUCGCAGGCAGCAGGGACCCGAUGGGCAGGAGGAGCUGCUGCUCCUUCUGUGACCACGCCAAAACAAGCCCCGGGCCAGCUCUCCUCGUGUGUGUGCUGGGGGAAAGUGGGGCUGAAAAACAGGAGCCACUGUGUCCAUUUGGGUGGUGAGAUGAUGUGGGAUGAGCCUGGGGAUGCUGGAACCAGGGUUUAGGAUCCACCUGGGCUGUCUCAUGAUUUCAAACAAGACUUUAAAGGGUGCAGCCUGUGGUGGCACCACCUGUGAACGUGACACAAAACACCCACAUCGAUUAAGCCCUUUUCCACUGAGAGGUGUUUUAAAAGCUUUUGUUCUGUUUUCAGUCUCAUGUGAAGGGUGAGACAGUACAGAUGUUAUAAUCCACAGCAUCACAAUCAGAAGCCAACUAUCUCUUAAUUACAAUACAUUAUAAGCAUUUCUUGGCCUGGCCUUUGGCAGGACAGGAUCCCUUCCCUGCGCUGCGGGGGAUGGAGGGCAGGGAUGGGGUUUGCACCCAGCGGAGCAGAGGGACCACGGGCAGCAGGAGCUCGGUGUGAGGCUGCUCUGGUACUCAGCUGGUGGAAGGGAGCCAGAACGAGCCUGUCUGGAGGGGAGAGCAGGCAGGAGCAGAGCCUGCUGUCUCGGCACUCUCGUUAUCCCAGUUUCCAGGCAGGGAGGGCUAAUUGCCUUUGCUGCUGGCUGUCUUCCACCCGGGACGCCUGUGGUGGAGGGCAAGGUGUUUCCUUGGCUUUAGUCAAGGCAGAGAUGAUUUCCAGGGUUGUAACAGGCUUCACAUCAGAGCCCUGAGAUGGGAAGGGCCCCUCUGUCUCCCCCAGACUCCUCCUGCUGUCCCUGCUGCAGCCCCGGAGGUUCUCUGCCCCAGCGCUGGCUCCAAGGCAGCCAGAUCCAUCCUCCUUUCCCUCCCUCCUGCAGAGGGGGAGCUGGGCAUAUUUCAUAUUCAUGUUUCUCUUGGUUUCCUGCUGUUUUUCUUUUCCCAUUGUAUGGAAAAGAGCAUUUCCCCGUCUGGGGCAGGAGGGAGGGGGUUUUCCCAGCACGGCCAGACUUUGCACUGCAGCCUCUGGAGAGGUUUCAUGGGCUGGUGCCAGAUUCCAGCCAGCCCUGCCAGAGCCUGGCUGGGCUCUGGGGGGUUGUGCAGUGCUGGGGGAGCCUUGAGCACUGGUUUAGGCCUAGGACAUUGUAGCAUGGGGUUCUCAGGUUCCCCUGGGCUCCAAAAACUCCCUGGAUUUGUAUGCUCUGUGCUCAGAUAAAUUCCUGACAGAGAUCAGCACAUCCCUCUCCUGCAGCUCUGUGUUUCCAGGACCACCAUCACCCUUAGCUGACAGCAGAUGUGUCUAGAAAAUGUAAUAAGAUUUCUCCUGAUGGUUUUGCAGCUGGAGGGUUGGUGCCUGUGUGUGAAAACCUCAAUGUGGCACAGGCCAGAAACCACAGAGAAAAUGCUGCUUUGCUUGGACUUGCAAAGCUCAAGGAGCUCUGGGCAGGAAUGAUAAAGCCUCUGUGCCUUCUGGUGCUGCUCAAGAGCAGCUGCUGGGACAGGGGCUGCUUUUUUCACUGUGCACUCUGAUGUGUCCAGAUGGGGUUUCAAACCUUCAUGAGAUCAUGGUGAGGAAAAACCAUUUUCACGCUUUAAGGAUGGGAUUGUGUUGGGUUACAGGCGAGGAAAGAGCUUCAGGUUGUGCUGAGUGAAUGCAAAACCAUGUUAGAAAAGGUUCAGACCAUGAUGUGAGAGCCAAGACUUUCCACCCAGGUGUUCUCAGCUCACAUUUAUCUGCAGUGAUGUCACCACUGGCAUCUUCACCCUGCACCCUCACACGUAACUGGGGGUUUUGUGCUUCUGGAGGAGAACUUUAUACAAAUACAAGCACAGGGGGAAACAUUCCUUCUCCUCUCCAGAUACUCUCAGAGGGCUCCUGACUCACUGACCACUCUGAGGUGUCUGGGAGAUUCUGGCCAUGCUGCUGCAGCCUGGCACUGCCAGGAUGAGCUGCUGGUGCCUCCAGCUGAGACAGGCAGCUUUGGUGGGAAAAACAGCCAAAUUCUUUAGGUGGGGCUGGGCAAAGAGCAUGUCCAGGCAGGAAUCUGCGCUGGUCCUCUGCCAGAGGGGGAUGCUCCAGGUAGAAGCGGUGUAAAGGAGGAGAUAAAACUGGAGGAGAUAAAACUGGAGGAGAUGAAACUGGAGGAGAUGAAACUGGAGGAGAUGAGGUCUGCAGAACACACGUGGAUGUGCCUGCCCACACGUGGGGUGAUGUGUUUGGGGAUGACAUGAGGAUGACUGUUCAUGGCAAGCAGAAGGUUUGGGCAGGAGGAGGAGAGGGAGAGGCCCUGACACACCUCGGGACUGCCACAUCCACAAACCAUUCCUGCUCCUUGCCAGGUGACAAGGCCCAGGAGGUGCUGCUGCCUCCUCUGCAGGGACAGAAAGGAGAACUGGGUCACC
rnacentral:lncRNA from 1 species